GGCGUUUAGGAGGGAGCGUACUCCGAGACGACGGAGCAGCAAGUCCCCCUGACCGGGGCUCUUACCCAGAGCGGGUGCGAGGCCCAUAGCUGCCGAGUCUCUCGGGGAUGCGACCUCUCGGGAGUCGGGUUGCUUGGGAGUGCAGCCCCAAGAGGGUGGUAAACUCCACCUAAGACUAAAUACGGCCGCGAGACCGAUAGCAAACAAGUACCGUGAGGGAAAGUUGCAAAGAACUUUGAAGAGAGAGUUCAAGAGUACGUGAAACUGCUCAGAGGCAAACGGGUGGGCCCUCGAAAUCCUUCCGCGGAGGGAUUCAGUCGGGCAGGACGAGGACCGGUGGUCGCCGAUUUUCGAAACGGACCCUUCAAUAAGGCCGGGCGGCCGUCGGAGACUCUCUUCCUUCCCGACGCACUUCCUUCCGCGCUACGGACGCCGCAACCGGUUGGGUAGCUGCGAGAGUCGGCCUUGAGGUUCGACGCCGGCAGGUGGCCGGGGGGAUUCGGCUUCGGCUGGUUCCCUCGGUCGUUAGCCAGUCGAUCCGUGGUGCGACACCCGACCGAGGUCGAUGUUCCCGUCUUCGGGAACUCGCCCCGCUCUCCCUCGAGGAGCGGAUUCCGGAGCACGCGUCACGGGGCUCCGUCGUUUUCACUCCCGGUAGUGUGCGAUGGGUCCGGCGCACGGUUGGCUCCGUGAACUUCCGCGGAGUGCGUGGACCAAGGUUGGCGGCGAGUAGGUCGGUCACCCACCCGACCCGUCUUGAAACACGGACCAAGGAGUCUAACACGUGCGCGAGUCACUGGGUCUUGUUCAGGCCCAAGGGCGCAAUGAAAGUGAAAAAUUUUAUAGUUGGGACUCCCGGUGUUUCGGCGCCGGGAAGCACCAACGGCCCGUCCGAUCAGCCUCCGCGCUGGCGGGCGGAGUCGGAGCGCACGCGUUGGGACCCGAAAGAUGGUGAACUAUGCCUGGGCAGAACGAAGCCAGAGGAAACUU
rnacentral:rRNA from 1 species